GAACCGGGAGAUCAUACGGCAGGGAGAAGCAUGAUCAGCCCCUUUUUUUUUUUUAUAGGGCUGACAGCGCGAACUCCGUUACUAUGCAGGAACGCUGCUAUAAUGAUGUCGUCAUUCAUAAUAUACUUGUGCAAACAAUGCUUGUGCAAACACUGCAACUUUACAAAGCUCAUCGACGUCCUUCUUGUCCACCUCCUCGGAGGAAGACAGGCGGAGCGUCAAGCCCUCUCUCUCUGGCGGGGAAGAAACUGCGGGGUCCCCAGCAGUGAUAUAGUGUUUGCAGGGAGGAACACACAGCCCGUAAUGCGAUCUGCUCUCGCCCAAGUGCUUAGUUUUCUCUGCACUUUUAGACAUUGUGGAGCUUAUUUCAAGUGAUUGUGUAGGGACAAACAACACUGAAUAAGACUCACAACACAGAUCGAUCGACAGACACACACACAGAGUAGCGGUUGCUGAAUGAUAAAAAGCUGAUUCCACCGCACAUGCUUUUAUGCUUCCUGGCCAAUUACGUCACCUGCCUGUGACAUCUCGCCCAUCCAUUGGACAGAUUACACAUGUGAUUAAGAGCGUGGUCACACUGAAGGUGUUCCCAUAGCGCUUCAACGCAGCUCGAGUUCCUGAAGAGGAACUACAUGAAAGAUUUACGUUAGUUAAAAAAUCCACAUCGUCUUUUGGCUGUAAUUUUCAAUCGAAGGGCAACAAGAGCAGCGAUGUAAGAAAGAAUUUACAUGUGCAGACGGAUUUAAACGUAGGCUUAAAUCAAAUGCUGUACCAUCAAUUUUCCCCCACAAAGAGUCUAAAUGCCCCCGGAUAUCGAGUGAAAUCUGCGCUGAGAAACAACAGAGACAAGAAAGCUAGAUGCUAUCCUGGUAGGAUGUAAACAUGAUGCCGCAGCCACUGAAGAAGAAAGUUCAAGCUUAUUCGCGGAGGAACUGGACAAUUCGUCAGUUUCACUGCAGUCGGUAAGUGUACAGUGUUCUUCAGUUAUGGUUGAUGCAACAACGCAGACUGAUGUUGACAAGUGCGAUGCAGCAGCACAGUGGUCAGUGGAUGUGUGUGACUCUGUUAACACCGACCAUAUAUGCUGCAGUGCCUGCUGAAGAGGGUGAGGGAGGUGAACUAGUAAAUCAGGGUGGUCAGUCCCAGGAUCUGUUCUUUUCAGAUAAUGAAUUUAGUGAGGGAAGUCAACUAGAAGAUAUACAGUCUAAUUCAGAAUAUAAUGCAAGUUCAUCUGAGCCUUCUCAAAGCACCCAUGAAUCUCAAACUUCAAAUGACAGCCAUAAAGACAGGCUGUUUGUUGUUUUUGAAGAACAGUUAAAAAAAUUACUACAGCAUUGUAUAAGGUGUGGCUCUUUGAUUGCCAUGGAGGAGAUGGAAAAUGAAGGAUCACAGCUGACUCUGGAGCUCACAUGUGCUAAUGGCUGUAGUUACAGAUGGCAGUCUCAGCCUACUGUCAACGGUACCAAGGGUGUUGGAAACCUGCUAUUUGCAGUGUCUGUGUUUUUCAGUGGCAUUCAUUUUGCUAAAUUUGAACAGUUUUGUAGGAACAUGAACCUCAAAACAAUAAGCGAAGACACAUACACAACACUUAGGAAGAAGUAUGCGUUGCCAGUUAUUGCGAAGACAUGGGCCAAAGAACAGAAUGCAGUGUUGAGCAAUAUGAAGUCAAGAGAAGUUGUCCUCUGUGGAGAUGGCCGGUGUGACUCUCCCGGUCAUUGUGCCAAAUACUGCACCUACACUUUUAUAGAUGAGUCAAAAAGUUGCAGACUUCAAAGUGAUAAGCUGCACCCAAGUUUCAAGCUCUAAUGCCAUGUAGACCAGAGGUUUUAAGGAAGCUCUUAAAUCAAUAGAAGAAAAUGGAGUGAAGGUCUCUACCAUUUCCACAGACAGGCACCCACAAAUUGUCAAAGAAAUGAGGGCCAGUAACCCAGAAAAACACCAUGAAUUUGACCCCAGGCAUGUGGCAAAAGGAGUGUCAAAAAAACUGGACAUUGCAGCUAAGAGGAAAGAAUGUGUGGGCCUGGGAGAGUGGAUACCAUCCAUUGUUAACCAUUUAUGGUGGAGUGCCCAAACCUGUGAGGGUAAUACUGAGGUGCUGAAGGCGAAGUGGGUGUCAGUAAUACACCAUGUUACCAACCGGCAUGACUGGCCAGGCAACAAGCAUUUACCAUAGAUCUGUUCAUGAGCCCCUUGAUGAGCUGACCGAGAGAACGAAGCUUUGGUUGAGUCCAGGAUCUAAGCCCACAAAACACUGGUGAGGACCGUUAAAGACAAGCGACUUUUGAAAGACCUAGACCACCUGACGAAGUGUAUCCACACUACGACACUAGAGGUGUACCCCUCCAUGUACCUCAAAUACCUUCCGAAGAGAACACAUUUUGGAUAUGAUGUGAUGAUCCAUGCUUGCUGCUCUGGAUCAUAACAACAACAGGGAACAGGCAGUGUUUCAAGAUGGGGAGACUGUUGGUGAACCUAAGCUCAAAAUCUCCUGGAGCAAAGUUCACAAGUAAUUCAGAGCAAGACCGGUGGCUGUUAAGAAGGACUAUGGCUACAUGACUGCAAUGGUGGCAGAUGUACUAUCCUCUGUGACAGAUUUAAAGCAAAGCAUGGACAUUACACUAGACUGAACACACAUCAUGGCACCACAACAAAGACCAUCGAGAUCACAGAUCAUAUUUCAGACACAGCAGUUUUCACGUUUCAAGUAGCUGCAUCUAUACAAACACUUUGCAUACACCAGCAUUCUUCUCUGUUAGUUGAGUCAUAUCAACUGGACUUCCCUCUAACCGCAACUCUAACAAGAACCUGGAUGAUUGAGGAUCUUCACAAACCAGCAUUUUUAAAAUCUACAAACUUUUAUUUUAAAUGUAUUUUGUACAAAGUUUACAUUGUUUGAUAAUGCCUGUACAUAAUUCAUUCUGUUGAUGAAAUGUUUUGUAAAUCUGAACAAUACAAGAGCUUAAA